AGUUGAAAGGAGCUUGCUUUUUCAACUCAGUGGCGGACGGGUGAGUAACGCGUGAGUAACCUGCCUUUCAGAGGGGGAUAACGUUCUGAAAGGGAUGCUAAUACCGGAUGUGACCACAACACCGCAUGAUGAAGGGGUCAAAGGAUUUAUCCGCUGAAAGAUGGGCUCGCGUCCGAUUAGCUAGAUGGUGAGGUAACGGCCCACCAUGGCGACGAUCGGUAGCCGGACUGAGAGGUUGAACGGCCACAUUGGGACUGAGACACGGCCCAGACUCC
rnacentral:rRNA from 1 species